GGGCCCAUAGCUCAGUGGCAGAGCAGCUCCCUCAUAAGGAGUGGGUCGCGGGUUCGAAUCCUGCUGGGCCCACUA
rnacentral:tRNA from 1 species